UACGGAGGGUGCGAGCGUUGUCCGGAAUCAUUGGGCGUAAAGAGCGUGUAGGCGGCUUGUUAAGUCUUGCGUGAAAUCUCGGGGCUCAACCCCGAGCGGUCGUGAGAAACUGGCAGGCUAGAGUGCGGGAGAGGAGAGUGGAAUUCCUGGUGUAGCGGUGAAAUGCGCAGAUAUCAGGAAGAACACCCGUGGCGAAGGCGGCUCUCUGGAACGCAACUGACGCUGAGACGCGAAAAGCGUGGGGAGCAAACAGG
rnacentral:rRNA from 1 species